UUUAAUGGGUAAUAAUAAUAAAAAUACAUAGUGUGUGUGGGGAAAAGGACCACACAGAUUGAGAUUUUAAUAUCUGAACCUACUAUUCAACCACAAAUCUUAUUAGCCAUUUAUUGAAAAGCUUUCUUGUUUUAGACAGAACAGAUCCUGAUUAAAGAAAGGAAGAUGCAGAGUGCCCUGCACUGAAUUUGUCACCAGCCAGCAGAGGGAGUGUCUGAAGCUUCAGUGCAGGUCAGAGGCUGUAAAACUUGAAGAAAGGAGCCAAGAUCGCCAGAAAUACAGUGGUGGUAUUAUAGCAAACAUGAGAUCCUAAGUCCUUUUUCAAAGCGUGCCUGCUCCCUGCAAGAGGAGGAACAGUGGCCAACCCACUCAAUCAGCUGUUGCCAUGUGGGACCUGUGCGAGGCCACCUUGGUAGGAGAAAGUAAGAAGAUAUGACCAGUUAUCUCCUCCAUCAGACAAAGGCACUAUUGAUUGUUCAGGAAAUUAAGUGGCCCCCUUUGCACCACAGUGCAAAAAAUGUACUCUUCUUUGGUGAAUCUUUAUUAUGUUGAUUGUUAAAGUGAUAUCUGUACAUAUUAAAUGUGUUAUGGCCUUAAGUGUUACAAUCCUUGCUCUGUGUAUAUUUACAUUUAUAUGUGUAUCAAUAUUCUCAAGCAGGAACACAGCACUGCCCUUCCAGCUCCCUCCCCCAGCUAGAGGACAUCUGGCAAUUUGACAUUUUGGUUGUCACAAUCUAGGGGACAGGGCUACUACUAGCAUCUACAGGGUAGAGCCAGUGGUACUGCUAAAUAUCUUAUAAUCCAUAGUACUGCUCCUGCAAUGAAGAAUUAUCUGGCUUAUGAUGUCAAUAAAAAUAAUAAUUUUCAUCAGAAAAGAGUUGUAUCAUUUUCAAAACACUUUCACAUGCAUUAUUUUAUUGAUGCUCAUAAAGUCAUUGUGAGGUAAUAAGCUUUCUAAUUUAUGGAUGAGGAAAUUGAGGUUUAAAAGGGAAAAGUGACUUUACCAAUGUCAUAUUACUAGAAAAGUGAAGGUGUUAGAGCACGAAAAUUAAUCUUCAGCCCUCUCUUACUUUCCAUACUUUUUCCUGGCAAUGUCCUGUGGGCAAAGAUAAAUGUGCCAGUCUCCUUCACUUCAAGCCCAGCAUGGUACUUUCCACUUGCUAGAGCUUCAAAAAUGUGUUUGUUGAUUGACUAAUUAUAAAUGACAUCAAGGACAGUCAACUGUAUUAUUCCCCCCUAGUUUUUAAAUAAGAAAUGUCAACUGAUAUGGUUUGACUCUGUCCCCACUCAGAUCUCAUCUUGAGUUGUAGCUCCCACAAUUCCCACAUGUGGCUGGUGAUAGCUGGUGGGAGGUAAUUGAAUCAUGGGGGCAGGCCUUUCCCAUGCUGCUCUCGUGAUAGCGAAUAAGUCCAUGAGCUCUGAUGGUUUUAUCAAGGGGAAACCCCUUUCACUUGGCUCCUACUCUCUCUUGUCUGCCACCACGUAAGACAUGCCUUUGCUUCCCCUUUGCCUUCAGCCAUGAUUGUGAGGCCUGCCCAGCCAUGUGAAACUGUGAGUCAAUUUAACCUCUUCCAUUUAGAAAUUACGCAGUCUCAGGUAAGUCUUUAGUAGCAAUGUGAGAACAGACUAAUAUAACAACUCAGAUCCCUAGGAAAGAUUUCUGUGUAAUUCAACAUACAUUUCCUGUUUUACAUGAAUAGAUGGCUGUAGCAUGUCUGGUUGUUUUUUUUUUUGUUUGUUUGUUGUUUUGUUUUUUUUUUUUUUAAUUUUGCUCUGGUGUAAAUCUUAGAGUAGUUCAAAAUGUAAAACCCCAAAACUUUUAGCUAGCAACAGGAUGUAGCCAUUCCGUGGCUUCCUUUUAACUGAAUAUGCACAGGCAGAGGAGCCAAGAGAAGGAACCAGCUUUUCUGAGUGACAGCAUAUUUCAAAGACAGGUAAAGGACAAACUGGAACAGAACUGGGGGUAAUACAUUGAAAACAAAACAAAACACAACAAGAAACAGUAACACGCAUGGAUCUCUGCCCAGAUUCCCACCCAAAAACUAAUUUAUUAAGCUGAUAUAAUAACACUGUGCAACAAUAGCCAGGCUAGCUUAGCUUUAUAUUUAGCUCAAGAAGCAAUUAAAGACAAAAAGAAAAAGAACACUCAUACUGUACAUGAUGAACAAAUCACAAGAUGUUCAACACAUUUGUUUAGCAGACAGUA
rnacentral:lncRNA from 1 species